GAUGCCUUGGCACUAGGAGCCGAUGAAGGACGUGACUAACUGCGAUAUGCUUCGGGGAGUCGUAAGUAGACUGUGAUCCGGAGAUUUCCGAAUGGGGAAACCCAACAGGUUUUGCCUGUUAUCGCUCAAUGAAUUCAUAGUUGAGCUGAAGGUAGACGCGGGGAACUGAAACAUCUAAGUACCCGCAGGAAGAGAAAGAAAAUUCGAUUCCCUAAGUAGCGGCGAGCGAACGGGGAACAGCCCAAACCAGAGAGCUUGCUCUUUGGGGUUGUAGGACUGGACAUCUGAGUUACCAAGAAAUAACGUAGUCGAAUGAUAUGGGAAGAUCAGCCAGAGAAGGUAACAGCCCUGUAAACGAAACGUUGUUUCCUCAGUCCAGGAUCCUGAGUACGGCGGAACACGUGAAACUCCGUCGGAAUCCGGGAGGACCAUCUCCCAAGGCUAAAUACUCCCUAGUGACCGAUAGUGAACCAGUACCGUGAGGGAAAGGUGAAAAGCACCCCGGGAGGGGAGUGAAAGAGUACCUGAAACCAUGUGCCUACAAGUAGUCAGAGCCCGUUAACGGGUGAUGGCGUGCCUUUUGUAGAAUGAACCGGCGAGUUAUGCUAACGUGCGAGGUUAAGGCGGAAAGGCCGGAGCCGCAGCGAAAGCGAGUCUGAACAGGGCGAACGAGUACGUUGGUGUAAACCCGAAACCAGGUGACCUACCCAUGUCCAGGUUGAAGGUGCGGUAAAACGCACUGGAGGACCGAACCCGUGUAUGUUGAAAAAUGCUGGGAUGAGGUGUGGGUAGCGGUGAAAUUCCAAUCGAACUUGGAGAUAGCUGGUUCUCUCCGAAAUAGCUUUAGGGCUAGCCUCGGAGUUGAGAAUCGUGGAGGUAGAGCACUGUUUGGACUAGGGGCCCGUCUUGGGUUACUGAAUUCAGAUAAACUCCGAAUGCCACUGAUUUAUAUCCGGGAGUCAGACUGCGAGUGAUAAGAUCCGUAGUCGAAAGGGAAACAGCCCAGACCACCGAUUAAGGUCCCUAAAUAUGUGUUAAGUGGAAAAGGAUGUGGAAUUGCACAGACAACUAGGAUGUUGGCUCAGAAGCAGCCACCAUUUAAAGAGUGCGUAAUAGCUCACUAGUCGAGUGAUCCUGCGCCGAAAAUGUAACGGGGCUAAACACAUUACCGAAAUCGUGGAUGCAGCUUUGCUGCAUGGUAGGAGAGCGUUCUAAGGGCGGUGAAGCCGGACCGUAAGGACCGGUGGAGCGCUUAGAAGUGAGAAUGCCGGUAUGAGUAGCGAAAGACAGGUGAGAAUCCUGUCCACCGAAUGACUAAGGUUUCCUGGGGAAGGCUCGUCCUCCCAGGGUUAGUCGGGACCUAAGCUGAGGCCGAGAGGCGUAGGCGAUGGACAACGGGUUGAUAUUCCCGUACCGGUCUGAUUUGUUUGAGCAAUGGAGGGACGCAGGAGGCUAACGAUGCGCACUAUCGGAUGUGCGUCCAAGCAGCAAGUCUGUCGGCGAGUCAAAUGCUUGCCGGCUCAAGGACAAGCUGUGACGGGUAUGAACGAUUUAUCGUUCUAAGUGAGCGACGUCACACUGCCAAGAAAAGCUUCUAGUUAGAAUCAGACCGCCCGUACCGCAAACCGACACAGGUAGUCGGGUCGAGAAGACCAAGGUGAGCGAGAGAACUCUCGUUAAGGAACUCGGCAAAAUGACCCCGUAACUUCGGGAGAAGGGGUGCUGAUCGCAAGAUCAGCCGCAGUGAAUAGGCCCAGGCGACUGUUUAUCAAAAACACAGGUUUCUGCAAAAUCGUAAGAUGAAGUAUAGGGGCUGACGCCUGCCCGGUGCUGGAAGGUUAAGAGGAUGGGUUAGCGCAAGCGAAGCUCAGAAUUGAAGCCCCAGUAAACGGCGGCCGUAACUAUAACGGUCCUAAGGUAGCGAAAUUCCUUGUCGGGUAAGUUCCGACCCGCACGAAAGGCGUAACGAUCUGGGCACUGUCUCAACGAGAGACUCGGUGAAAUUAUAAUACCCGUGAAGAUGCGGGUUACCCGCAGCAGGACGGAAAGACCCCAUGGAGCUUUACUGUAGCUUGAUAUUGGAUUUCGGCAUUGCAUGUACAGGAUAGGUGGGAGACUGCGAACUCAGUACGCCAGUAUUGAGGGAGUCACCGUUGGGA
rnacentral:rRNA from 1 species